rnacentral:rRNA from 1 species
UACGUAGGGUGCAAGCGUUGUCCGGAAUUAUUGGGCGUAAAGAGCUCGUAGGCGGUUUGUCGCGUCUGAUGUGAAAAUCCAGGGCUUAACCCUGGACCUGCAGUGGGUACGGGCAGACUGGAGUGCGGUAGGGGAGAUCGGAAUUCCUGGUGUAGCGGUGAAAUGCGCAGAUAUCAGGAGGAACACCGGUGGCGAAGGCGGAUCUCUGGGCCGUAACUGACGCUGAGGAGCGAAAGCAUGGGGAGCGAACAGG